rnacentral:rRNA from 1 species
UACGUAGGGACCAAGCGUUGUCCGGAAUCAUUGGGCGUAAAGAGCGUGUAGGCGGCUUGUUAAGUCUUGCGUGAAAUCUCGGGGCUCAACCCCCGAGCGGUCGUGAGAAACUGGCAGGCUAGAGUGCGGGAGAGGAGAGUGGAAUUCCUGGUGUAGCGGUGAAAUGCGCAGAUAUCAGGAAGAACACCCGUGGCGAAGGCGGCUCUCUGGAACGCAACUGACGCUGAGACGCGAAAGCGUGGGGAGCGAACAGG